rnacentral:rRNA from 1 species
UAAUACGUAGGGGGCGAGCGUUACCCGGAUUCACUGGGCGUAAAGCGCGUGUAGGCGGCUGAUCAAGCGUGGUGUGAAAUCUCCGGGCUCAACCCGGAAACUGCAUUGCGAACUGGUCUGGCUAGAGUGCAGGAGAGGGCAGCAGAAUUCCUGGUGUAGCGGUGAAAUGCGUAGAUAUCAGGAGGAAUACCAGUGGCGAAGGCGGCUGCCUGGCCUGUAACUGACGCUGAGACGCGAAAGCGUGGGGAGCGAACCGG